CAUGACCACUUCAAAUGGUGCAUAUGUUGAUAUCCAAUCGAAGUCUACUGCUUUCUUGCCUUUGGAUGAGGCAUGCCUUCUCGAUGUCAACCAUAUAGAAGAGGCAGGGAUCCGUGCAGGUUUGGUAGAAGAGUUCAUGAUUAUUGACGAGAAUCCUGGUGAUGAAACUUUGAUUUUGAGCUUACAAGCAAUUCAGCAAGACCUUGCCUGGGAAAGGUGCAGACAGCUUCAAGCAGAAGAUGUUGUUGUCACGGGUAAAGUAAUUGGUGGAAACAAAGGAGGUGUGGUAGCUCUUGUGGAGGGCCUUAAGGGAUUUGUUCCAUUUUCACAAGUGUCAUCGAAAUCAACUGCUGAAGAACUGCUUGACAAAGAACUACCUCUGAAGUUUGUGGAGGUCGAUGAG
rnacentral:misc_RNA from 1 species